UAACUGAAGAGUUUGAUCAUGGCUCAGAUUGAACGCUGGCGGCAGGCUUAACACAUGCAAGUCGAGCGGGGGAAGGUAGCUUGCUACUGGACCUAGCGGCGGACGGGUGAGUAAUGCUUAGGAAUCUGCCUAUUAGUGGGGGACAACAUCUCGAAAGGGAUGCUAAUACCGCAUACGUCCUACGGGAGAAAGCAGGGGAUCUUCGGACCUUGCGCUAAUAGAUGAGCCUAAGUCGGAUUAGCUAGUUGGUGGGGUAAAGGCCUACCAAGGCGACGAUCUGUAGCGGGUCUGAGAGGAUGAUCCGCCACACUGGGACUGAGACACGGCCCAGACUCCUACGGGAGGCAGCAGUGGGGAAUAUUGGACAAUGGGGGGAACCCUGAUCCAGCCAUGCCGCGUGUGUGAAGAAGGCCUUAUGGUUGUAAAGCACUUUAAGCGAGGAGGAGGCUACUUUAGUUAAUACCUAGAGAUAGUGGACGUUACUCGCAGAAUAAGCACCGGCUAACUCUGUGCCAGCAGCCGCGGUAAUACAGAGGGUGCGAGCGUUAAUCGGAUUUACUGGGCGUAAAGCGUGCGUAGGCGGCUUAUUAAGUCGGAUGUGAAAUCCCCGAGCUUAACUUGGGAAUUGCAUUCGAUACUGGUGAGCUAGAGUAUGAGAGAUGGUAGAAUUCCAGGUGUAGCGGUGAAAUGCGUAGAGAUCUGGAGGAAUACCGAUGGCGAAGGCAGCCAUCUGGCCUAAUACUGACGCUGAGGUACGAAAGCAUGGGGAGCAAACAGGAUUAGAUACCCUGGUAGUCCAUGCCGUAAACGAUGUCUACUAGCGUUGGGGCCUUUGAGGCUUUAGUGGCGCAGCUAACGCGAUAAGUAGACCGCCUGGGGAGUACGGUCGCAAGACUAAAACUCAAAUGAAUUGACGGGGGCCCGCACAAGCGGUGGAGCAUGUGGUUUAAUUCGAUGCAACGCGAAGAACCUUACCUGGCCUUGACAUACUAGUAAAACUUCCAGAGAUGGAUUGGUGCCUUCGGGAAUCUAGAUACAGGUGCUGCAUGGCUGGCGUCAGCUCGUGUCGUGAGAUGUUGGGUUAAGUCCCGCAACGAGCGCAACCCUUUUCCUUACUUGCCAGCAUUUCGGAUGGGAACUUUAAGGAUACUGCCAGUGACAAACUGAGGAAGGCGGGACGACGUCAAGUCAUCAUGGCCCUUACGGCCAGGGCUACACACGUGCUACAAUGGUCGGUACAAAGGGUUGCUACACAGCGAUGUGAUGCUAAUCUCAAAAAGCCGAUCGUAGUCCGGAUUGGAGUCUGCAACUCGACUCCAUGAAGUCGGAAUCGCUAGUAAUCGCGGAUCAGAAUGCCGCGGUGAAUACGUUCCCGGGCCUUGUACACACCGCCCGUCACACCAUGGGAGUUUGUUGCACCAGAAGUAGCUAGCCUAACUGCAAAGAGGGCGGUUACCACGGUGUGGCCGAUGACUGGGGUGAAGUCGUAACAAGGUAGCCGUAGGGGAACCUGCGGCUGGAUCACCUCCUUA
rnacentral:rRNA from 1 species